GUCACUUUGCCGGAGUGGUUAACGGGAUCGCCUGCUAUCUUCAGUGAAGCGGUUGGGCUUUGCCCGCGAGUGUUCGAAUCGCUCAGGUGACG